rnacentral:piRNA from 1 species
UGGUGACUUUUGGUUUCUACGUGAACUGCU